rnacentral:rRNA from 1 species
GCAGCAGCCACGGUAAUACGUAGGGUGCAAGCGUUAAUCGGAAUUACUGGGCGUAAAGCGUGCGCAGGCGGUUAUAUAAGACAGAUGUGAAAUCCCCGGGCUCAACCUGGGAACUGCAUUUGUGACUGUAUAGCUAGAGUACGGCAGAGGGGGAUGGAAUUCCGCGUGUAGCAGUGAAAUGCGUAGAUAUGCGGAGGAACACCGAUGGCGAAGGCAAUCCCCUGGGCCUGUACUGACGCUCAUGCACGAAAGCGUGGGGAGCAAACAGGAUUAGAUACCCCGGUAGUCCCUGUCUCUUAUAC